CCUACGGAGUGCUGCAGUGGGGAAUAUUGGACAAUGGGCGAAAGCCUGAUCCAGCCAUGCCGCGUGUGUGAAGAAGGCCUUCGGGUUGUAAAGCACUUUCAGUGGGGAAGAAAGCCUUGGGGCUAAUACCCUCGAGGAAGGACAUCACCCACAGAAGAAGCACCGGCUAACUCCGUGCCAGCAGCCGCGGUAAUACGGAGGGUGCGAGCGUUAAUCGGAAUUACUGGGCGUAAAGCGCGCGUAGGCGGUCUGAUAAGCCGGUUGUGAAAGCCCCGGGCUCAACCUGGGAACGGCAUCCGGAACUGUCAGGCUAGAGUGCAGGAGAGGAAGGUAGAAUUCCCGGUGUAGCGGUGAAAUGCGUAGAGAUCGGGAGGAAUACCGGUGGCGAAGGCGGCCUUCUGGACUGACACUGACGCUGAGGUGCGAAAGCGUGGGUAGCAAACAGGAUUAGAUACCCCAGUAGUC
rnacentral:rRNA from 1 species